AUUGAACGCUGGCGGCAGGCUUAACACAUGCAAGUCGAGCGAGCGGCGGACGGGUGAGUAAUGUCUGGGAAACUGCCUGAUGGAGGGGGAUAACUACUGGAAACGGUAGCUACUACCGUAUACCUUCACCUGGGUCCAGUUGGGAUUAGCUAGUAGGUGGGGUAAUGGCUCACCCAGGCGACGAUCCCUAGCUGGUCUGAGAGGAUGACCAGCCACACUGGAACUGGGACACGGUCCAGGCUCCGACGGGAGGCAGCAGUGGGGAAUAUUGCACAAUGGGCGCGAGCCUGAUGCAGCCAUGCCGCGUGUGUGAAGAAGGCCUUCGGGUUGUAAAGCACUUUCAGCGAGGAGGCGUUACUCGCAGAAUAAGCACCGGCUAACUCCGUGCCAGCAGCCGCGGUAAUUC
rnacentral:rRNA from 1 species